GCGUAGUUUGAAAAUCCUAGGAUUUGAUCUAGGAAAUCGUCGGAGGGUCCGUCGGAGGGGUUGUUAGCCAUGGAAUUUUGUCUAUGUGACUAGUGAGAGGAGUUAGGGUCUGUGAACAGCAUUUAUCGGCGAGGGUGAGGGUUACAAAAAAAAUGAAAGGAGCGAAGAGGAAAGUUAGUUAUGUUAUGUAUUGCGCCUUUGCGUGUGUGCAUAUAUAUAAUACGGAGAGAGAGAGAGAGAGAGAGAGAGAGAGGGUUUCUACUUCCCACUGAUAGCGAAUAAGAAGAAAGACCAGAGCAAUGAGACAAUGAGUGUCCCGAAAGACACUCUUUUGGGAUUCCUUCUAUUCGCCCUGCCCGCCAUUUCUUGGGUACCCCCCACCCAGAAUAGAUAGAGAAAUCAAAAUAAAAAUAGAAAUAGAGAAAAUUUCUAUUCAUCACCGAAAGUUUUAACACACUUUUGUUACCGAUACACAAAACGACGAUUUUUUGGGUACAAACGGCAUCGUUCAACUAAAUUGGAUGCUUACCGGGAAGCAACUAAGUUGAUUCUUACCGGGAAAGAACCAUUUAGUACCAAAACCGACGUCUUUUUGUCUAUCGUAAAAAGCGAUAAAACUUUCGGUGACCGUAGCAUUUCUGAUAAAAAUAUGAGUUGUGAAUUUAUCCAUGUUAAAAUUACCAAAACAUCCCUUCUCCCUGUUCCAAACCCUAAUCUUUAAACCCCACAGCCACCUCCCACCGCCUCCACCUUUGCCACCCCAGACCCGCCUCACCCUUCGCCACUUCAAGUUUGAGUCCAUAGCGCAAGGCUCCCUCUGCUUUCUCCUUCAUUCGCUAGCAACUCCUUAUUACAUUUUCUUGAAAAUUUAUAUUUCGGAACGAAAGGAGAUAGGGAUCACUUCAUAAAGUUAAAAGAAAAAUAUACAUGGGGUGUAAGGAUUUCACGUCACAUGAUGGAUUAACUUCGAUCACUUUGAGGGAAUCUAACUUAAAGGCCUAAAGGGACUUUAUUUGUCUUCAUAAUGAACCCAACGACAUUUACAUUUUAUAGACUUGAUAAUAUUUUAUUUUAUUUUGUGUCUAAAUCUAGUUGGUCCUUCCUUUUUAUGUCUUUAAUUUUAGUCCCUUGGUUGUGUUUUUCAUUUUCGAGUUAAAGUCCUAUAAUUAGGUAAAUGUAGAUGAUACGAUGAGAAGAAGAGAACUACUAUAAAACUUGGCUUCAUCAGUCUUUGGGGAUCUAAAUUUUCUCUUUUCUCGAGUGAAUUUGUGAAAUAAUUCCGUUUCUCCCUAGUCCUGGGGGGGCUAAAAAAAAAAACAGCACGGAAGUAAAGCUAUCAUCCGGCAAAUAAAAAAAAAAAACAAGAGGUCGCGGGAUGUUUUCAGAGUGAAUCUUAUCAAGAUUUUCAUAUAAAGGAAAUAAACCAAUGACAUAAAUUUGCACUGACAUAUCGAUGCUAGACUCCAAGACUUGAGAAUACAAUCAUUCAUUGACAUAACAUAAAGUCGAACAAAAUAAAAAUCAUAUUCAAGAAAAGUAGAGAGAAAAUGCAGCAAAGGAAAAGGGAAGAGAUCGGUUGCGGUGUAAUCCUGAACGCCAUUCGUUGGGGGCGUGGGAGGCGCGAUGGCGAGACACAAAAGUGACCAAAAGAAGGGAGGGAGAUGGCGGAAGAGGUCUAAGAACGUUUUCUAAAAAAUUCUACCAUCCUCCUAACAUUUACAUUUAACCCCACCCCAUGUCCUAUCCUCAAGUUUCAAGUAGUCGAUUGUUUAUAGCAUCUACAAACCUAGGCAAUUUGUAUUUUUGUUCCAAAUAACUAGCCAUUCUUGAUAAACUGGCUCCAACAGGAUAGCUACUUAACUACUAUUAUAAAAUGCUACAGAACCUCGUCAAUUUGAGCGAGGACCUGUAGACACUUAAAGAUACAAACUGAUAGUCACUGCGGACGCAAAAAAAAAGGAGGGCGCCGCAAGCAGGGAACAACUUAAAGCUCUGCAAUCGCUGGGUGGGCAUCUAUUUUCCCUGCCGGAACGGUACUUUAACUCAAACCAUUCCAUCCCCUUCUUCUCUCUAUCCUCCUCUUCCACACAUGAACCCCUAACCUUCCACUCCCUGCCUUGAUCUACUCUUUCUCCCACCAGUUCGCUCUUCUCUCUCGUCGUCUCCCCUCCAUGGGCACACACCUAAGUUGCCUCAAUUUUGCUCAGUAAAAUGCUAAAGAAAAUAAUUUUUGAAAAGAAUAGAUCAAGCAUAAAGAGGAUUAAGUAAAAAGUUUGGACUAUCAUUCUGCACAACCUGGUUGAGAUGCUAUUCGUUGCUACAGAUACGUGUCUCUCUUUCUUCUAGUCCCGUAUUUGGCCUAUCAGAAUUCUACAAAAAAUUUAACGUUUUCUUUAUUUAAGGGCAUGUUUUGGCUGCUGGAUUAGGAGAGGGGGGAUAACUUUUUUCCGAAUAUUUUUCCCCCCCGGGCGUUUGGCGGCGUCGGGCUAUAAUUAGUGCG
rnacentral:lncRNA from 1 species